rnacentral:rRNA from 1 species
AUUGAACGCUGGCGGCAGGCCUAACACAUGCAGGUCGAACGGUAACAGGAAGCAGCUUGCUGCUUUGCUGACGAGUGGCGGACGGGUGAGUAAUGUCUGGGAAACUGCCUGAUGGAGGGGGAUAACUACUGGAAACGGUAGCUAAUACCGCAUAACGUCGCAAGACCAAAGAGGGGGACCUUCGGGCCUCUUGCCAUCGGAGGUGCCCAGAUGGGAUUAGCUAGUAGGUGGGGUAACGGCUCACCUAGGCGACGAUCCCUAGCUGGUCUGAGAGGGUGACCAGCCACACUGGAACUGAGACACGGUCCAGACUCCUACGGGAGGCAGCAGUGGGGAAUAUUGCACAAUGGGCGCAAGCCUGAUGCAGCCAUGCCGCGUGUAUGAAGAAGGCCUUCGGGUUGUAAAGUACUUUCAGCGGGGAGGAAGGUGUUGAGGUUAAUAACCUCAGCAAUUGACGUUACCCGCAGAAGAAGCACCGGCUAACUCCGUGCCAGCAGCCGCGGUAAGAC